GACGUAGGGGGCCAGCGUUGCUCGGAAUUACUGGGCGUAAAGGGUCCGUAGGCGGUGCGGUAAGUCGGGAGUGAAAUCUCUGGGCUUAACUCAGAGGCUGCUUCCGAACUACCGUGCUAGAGUGCGAGAGAGGCAAGUGGAAUUGCGGGUGUAGCGGUGAAAUGCGUAGAUAUCCGCAGGAACAUCCGAGGCGAAAGCGGCUUGCUGGAUCGCAACUGACGCUGAGGGACGAAAGCUAGGGGAGCAAACAGG
rnacentral:rRNA from 1 species